CAAAUUAUACUGAUUUUAGGUUUCCACAGAUAAAAGCACACCCUUGGCACAAGGUUUUCCACAAAAGGAUGCCUCCAGAGGCAAUUGAUCUUGCUUCACGACUACUGCAAUACUCACCAAGUCUACGAUGCACAGCAUUAGAAGCAUGUGCACAUUCUUUCUUUGAUGAGCUUCGGGAACCCAAUGCUCGCCUACCAAAUGGUCGCCCUUUGCCGCCACUAUUCAACUUUAAGCAGGAAUUAAAUGGGGCAUCUCCUGAGCUCGGCAACAAGCUGAUACCGGAUCAUGUUAAAAGGCAAAUGGGUCUAAACUUUUUGCA
rnacentral:misc_RNA from 1 species